rnacentral:rRNA from 1 species
UAACGCGUGGGUAACCUGCCUCAUACAGGGGGAUAACAGUUAGAAAUGACUGCUAAUACCGCAUAAGCGCACGGGACUGCAUGGUCCAGUGUGAAAAACCGAGGUGGUAUGAGAUGGACCCGCGUCUGAUUAGCUGGUUGGCGGGGUAACGGCCCACCAAGGCGGCGAUCAGUAGCCGACCUGAGAGGGUGGCCGGCCACAUUGGGACUGAGACACGGCCCAAACUCCUACGGGAGGCAGCGGUGGGGAAUAUUGCACAAUGGGGGAAACCCUGAUGCAGCAACGCCGCGUGAGUGAAGAAGUAUUUCGGUAUGUAAAGCUCUAUCAGCAGGGAAGAGAAUGACGGUACCUGACUAAGAAGCCCCGGCUAACUACGUGCCAGCAGCCGCGGUAAUACGUAGGGGGCGAGCGUUAUCCGGAUUUACUGGGUGUAAAGGGAGCGUAGACGGUUCUGCAAGUCUGAAGUGAAAGCCCGUGGCUUAACCGCGGAACGGCUUUGGAAACUGUGGAACUGGAGUGCUGGAGAGGCAAGCGGAAUUCCUAGUGUAGCGGUGAAAUGCGUAGAUAUUAGGAGGAACACCAGUGGCGAAGGCGGCUUGCUGGACAGUAACUGACGUUGAGGCUCGAAAGCGUGGGGAGCAAACAGGAUUAGAUACCCUGGUAGUCCACGCGGUAAACGAUGAAUGCUAGGUGU